rnacentral:rRNA from 1 species
AACGAACGCUGGCGGCAGGCCUAACACAUGCAAGUCGAGCGAGGACUUCGGUCCUAGCGGCGGACGGGUGAGUAACGCGUGGGAACGUGCCCUUUGCUACGGAAUAGCCCCGGGAAACUGGGAGUAAUACCGUAUGUGCCCGAGAGGGGAAAGAUUUAUCGGCAAAGGAUCGGCCCGCGUUGGAUUAGGUAGUUGGUGGGGAAAUGGCCUACCAAGCCGACGAUCCAUAGCUGGUUUGAGAGGAUGAUCAGCCACACUGGGACUGAGACACGGCCCAGACUCCUACGGGGGGCAGCAGUGUGGAAGCUUAGAGAAUGUGCGCAAGCCUGCUCUAGCCAUGCCGCGUGAGCGAUGAAGGCCUUAGGGUUGUAAAGCUCUUUCAGUGGGGAAGAUAAUGACUGUACCCACAGAAGAAGCCCCGGCUAACUCCGUGCCAGCCGCCGCCGUAACAC